rnacentral:rRNA from 1 species
CGAGGGGCGAGCGUUGUUCGGAAUUACUGGGCGUAAAGGGCGCGUAGGCGGCGACCCAAGUCAGAUGUGAAAGUCCUGGGCUUAACCUGGGGACUGCAUUUGAUACUGGGUUGCUUGAAUUCGGGAGAGGAUAGCGGAAUUCCCAGUGUAGAGGUGAAAUUCGUAGAUAUUGGGAAGAACACCGGUGGCGAAGGCGGCUAUCUGGACCGACAUUGACGCUGAGGCGCGAAAGCGUGGGGGAGCAAACAGGAUUAGAUACCCUGGUAGUCCACGCCGUAAACGAUGAAAUGCUAGACGCUGGGGAGCAUGCUCUUCGGUGUCGCAGCUAACGCAUUAAGCAUUCCGCCUGGGGAGUACGGUCGCAAGAUUA